rnacentral:rRNA from 1 species
GAUGAACGCUGGCGGCGUGCCUAAUACAUGCCAGUCGAGCGAACAGACGAGGAGCUUGCUCCUCUGACGUUAGCGGCGGACGGGUGAGUAACACGUGGAUAACCUACCUAUAAGACUGGGAUAACUUCGGGAAACCGGAGCUAAUACCGGAUAAUAUAUUGAACCGCAUGGUUCAAUAGUGAAAGACGGUUUUGCUGUCACUUAUAGAUGGAUCCGCGCCGCAUUAGCUAGUUGGUAAGGUAACGGCUUACCAAGGCAACGAUGCGUAGCCGACCUGAGAGGGUGAUCGGCCACACUGGAACUGAGACACGGUCCAGACUCCUACGGGAGGCAGCAGUAGGGAAUCUUCCGCAAUGGGCGAAAGCCUGACGGAGCAACGCCGCGUGAGUGAUGAAGGUCUUCGGAUCGUAAAACUCUGUUAUUAGGGAAGAACAAAUGUGUAAGUAACUAUGCACGUCCUGACGGUACCUAAUCAGAAAGCCACGGCUAACUACGUG